rnacentral:rRNA from 1 species
GACGAACGCUGGCGGCGUGCUUAACACAUGCAAGUCGAGCGGUAAGGCCCUUUCGGGGGUACACGAGCGGCGAACGGGUGAGUAACACGUGGGUGACCUGCCCUUAGCUCUGGGAUAAGCCUGGGAAACUGGGUCUAAUACCGGAUAUGACUCCAUGACGCAUGUUGUGGGGUGGAAAGCCUUGUGCGGCUAGGGAUGGGCCCGCGGCCUAUCAGCUUGUUGGUGGGGUGANGGGCCUACCAAGGCGACGACGGGUAGCCGGCCUGAGAGGGCGACCGGCCACACUGGGACUGAGACACGGCCCAGACUCCUACGGGAGGCAGCAGUGGGGAAUCUUGCGCAAUGGGCGAAAGCCUGACGCAGCGACGCCGCGUGAGGGAUGACGGCCU